CUCUGGGCUCCUACGCAAUCUCUUCGUCAUCGGAGCGGAUCCAAAACAGUGGGAAGUAGUGCCGCGUUCAAAACAACUGGGAACUCGGAAAAAAAUACGAUGUUAAAUCAUGACGUCAUUGAUCUUCAGGUCGGAAAGUCGGAGUUGUAUAGGCCCGAGUUCCAUAGUUGGAAUUUGGUUUGAUGACCGUUCAAAUCGUUUUUUUCCAGUCGAGCUCGUUUUUUUCAGAGUUCCCAGUUGUUUGAAACUCACUGAAAUCGGAAGUCGAAGAUUUCCGAGUUCCGAGCUCCCAAUUCUUUUGAACGCGGCAUAGGCUAUUGUUUAUUAUCACCUUCCGGAUUCUUAGAAACUUCCCCUGUUACAGACCCGCCACCGACUUAUCUGUUCAAUGGAGGAACCAUUAUUUUUUGCUUGCGGGGAUUUGGUCGACUGGUCUGUCCAAACUGCUUGGGAACAGAAUGACGCCGAGGUGGACAGUGCGUUUGGAGACUGGAGUUCUGCCUGUAAUGGCAACAAGUCGGAUGCAGUUGAAAGAUCUUCAUCUCUGUCUUCACCCAUGAACAUGGACAUCUCUAAACUCUCAACAAAGUGUGAGUCAGACUUUUUGGAAGAUCAUGAAGGAACUACAGAGACCUCUUGCCCCCCUGCUGCUGCUGCUCUCAUCAAAACCAAGCUGCUGGCCCCCUCCUCCUGCCAUGGUGACACCCCAGCUUUCCUCUACCAAAUCUCCCAGCAGUGGCUGACUCAAUGCAGCAUCCAGCUGCAGCCUCAGCACCACAAGAAGUCUCCUGCACUGAACUAUGGAGAAGGAUAAGAUGAAGAUGCUGCUUAGCAUAGCCCUACUGUACUGUUGUAGAUGGGUGAAACGGGUUGGGUUGUUACCCGGGUGAGAACAAAGUAUACACUUUUCGCAACAUUUUAUUUAUACAGAUUGUAAAGAAAAUACAUUCUAUGAUAUUGUGUAUUUAGUUUGCAGGCAUGUUCCUGGUUUUAUAUAUAAUAUUUUGAUACGGAGUGUAGUUACAGUGAUACUAUAAAAUGUUCUAUACAUUUAUUGAGUUAUUUAUUCAGUGUAACACCUGUUUUAUACCACUAUUGUCAAGAGCAGAGGGAACAAUGCAAUUCUUUGGAAGACUUUGGAAGUCACAGUCACAGCACUCCACUAGAGGGCAUACUGGCUUCCUCAUAAGUCCCAAACCCCAUUUUGCAAACAUACAGUGCAUUCAGAAAGUAUUCAGACCCCUUGCCUUUUCCACAUCUUGUUACGUUACAGCCUUAUUCUAGAAUUGAUUACAAUUUUUUUUUCUCAUCAAUCUACACACACUACCCCAUAAUGACAAAGCAAAAACAGGUUUUUAGAAUUGUUGCCAAAGGUAUUAAAAACAGAAAUACCUUAUUUACAUAAGUAUUCAAAUCAAAAAAUCUAAUCAAAGUUAAUUUGUCACAUGCGCCGAAUACAACAUGUGUAGACCUUCAGACCAUGCACCUCAAAACAAGCUUUGUCCAUAUAUUUUGUUUUGUAGAAUACCCAUCUCUAAGUCUCACUGUAGAAACCUGGCUUGCAAUCUAGGGCAGUGCAUGGUCCAAAAAAAAGUAAUUGGGUGUGGCUUCCCACUGUGGAUACAUUUUUAUGGAAAUUUGGAUUGCUUGUGCUUUAACUAUUUAUGGCAUUAUUGAUUAUUGGUGUCCUCCACUUCUUAAUAUUUCCAUAGUUUGGUCCUCUGUUUUUCUUUACCUGCCUUAAUACUCAAAACCAUAGACAUGUUUCAUGUCAUUGGCCAUUUUGUAAGUAAGACUGCAGGGUAUCAUUGUGCUAAUCAGCACAAACCAGUAUAACAGAGAGGUUAUUACAUGUGUACAACUGCAUCUCAGACAGUUCUCUUCCAUUUCAACCACCAGGAUUUGCUUUUCCAGACAGAGAAAACAAGGGGUUAGUGGAGGUGCACACUCCUCCCACAUGUCACUUGUUUGGCUGGCGGGUUGAGUCUAUGAAUAGAAUUGAAAUACAGAGAGAAAAACCAUCACCUUUUUCCAAGUAGGCCCCUCCUACAUGACAAGUGAUGUAGCCCUGCACUUCCCUCCCCCUCUCUCUCUCUACUAUCUCCUCUCAGCUAGUGCACUAGCGGGAUGUCAGAGUGAAUUUAGAUUACAUCUCGUUGCAGUGCAGUGGCGGAAAAAAGGCAAAGGGACAUGGAGGAAGGAAGGAUGAUCCUGGGUUGUAUUGUGCCUUAUAUGUCACUCGCACACACAGAGGAAGGCAUGGGUGCAUUGGACCAUCUUUGUUUUGGGUGGGCUGGUCAAAAUAAAUUAAUAAUACAAAUAAUUGACUUUUUUAAGGGAGAUGGCCCUUGGGCCUGUUAAGAUUAUGAUUUUUGUGCAAUUUCUCUAUUGUCAUAUUAAUAUAUUUGAGCAUUUGCCUGAUCAGUGGACAACGGCCAGUCCCCCCUACCAAGAUAGGCCUGCCCGGUUUUCUGUUUGGCUGAGGUGGUGCAAAAUUCACGUUCAAUGUCAAACGCACAUCAGCAAAGAGACCUGCUCUGACUCUCUUGUCAUCAGUCAGCCCAGAUCAUGGCUUGUAAAAAACAGAAAGGUAGUGCUAAAAAAAGUUAAGAGACCAAAAAAAGGCUUGAGACCACAGCUGCUUAAUGUAUGAAAUAAAUCAACUAAUUUUCUAAAAGUUCUGGUUCGGCUGGUCCAAGUGUUGUGACAGAUGCUGCUACAGAAGACAGUGCAGUCGAGGUAUGGAGAAAGCCUAGCUACUGUGUUACUCUUUCUCAGUUUUCAUCCAAAUGCCCACAGAUUUUAAUGCGAAUAUUCAAAAAUCAGCAUAAAAACUCCAAGGGGUUUCCAUCAAAUUGACUUGUUGCGGAUAAAAGGCUGCGCAUGAUGAUGUAGUGCACAUAAUAAUACAUUUUCCAUUGCAUUUUUAACUUUACUGAUGAUUUUCUCACAAAAAAACAUGAGUUAUAUAGCGAGUGUGCCCACUGGUAUUGGCACGUGCUCUCUAGCCAACAGCUCUCAGACACUGUGCGAGUAGGCCAAUAGCCUAUGGAUGAGAUUAUUAUGGACAAGAUUAUUUCUAUUUGUCAAAUGGCAGCCAAGCAUCGAUGAUCAUGUCAUAAGACCCUUUAUGUUUAUUGGAAAGGAGCACAUCACCUUGCACUUUUCACCACCCUGUGAAGUUCAUAAUUUAUACUGAACAAAAAUAUAAACGCAACAUGUAAAGUGUUGGUCCCAUGUUUCAUGAGCUGAAAUAAAAGAUACCCGAAAUGUUCCAUUCACACAAAGUUUAUUUCUCUUAUCUUUUGUGCACAAAUGUGUUUACAUCCGUUAGUGAGCAUUUCUCCUUUGCCAAGAUAAUCCAUCCACCUGACAGGUGUGGCAUAUCAAGAAGCUGAUUAAACAGCAUGAUCAUUACACAGGUGCACCUUCUGCUGGGGACAAUAAAAGGCCACUAUUAUGUGCAGUUUUGUCACAACACAAUGCCAC
rnacentral:lncRNA from 1 species